rnacentral:lncRNA from 1 species
GCUAAAAACAUCAUUUGAACAUCUUGAAUUAAAUUAAAUAUGCCAUUAAAAUUGAUACCACCUGUUUCAUUUUACUUUUUAUAUGUGCCAUUCAAAAAAUUUAAAUUACAUAUGUGAACUGCAUUAUAUUUAUUUUCAUUUGAUAGUGCUGUUCUAAACCUUGGUUUUCUUUUUUUUUUUUUUCUUCUCUAGAUUAACUUUACUACAGUUAUACAUUCAUGCCGUGGCGGUAACAACUUUCACAUUAUUCUUAGGACUUUUUUCAACUGACUCAUCACAAAGGCACAGUCCAAGAGGACACACUGACAUUCACAAUCACGGUUUAGAACAGAAACAAAAAGGACCUAUCCCUGAAAACAGAAACCACUUGAAAAAGCCAUGAUUCCAGACCAACAACAGUUGCUCCUACUUUCAUCAUCAGUGAAGACUGGAGAGUCUGCAUGACCAAGGGCAAGACCAGAAUCCUCAGAGCUGUUUCUUGGGUGUGCAAGAUGGCAGGAACCCACAUUUGGUAGAUCCUCCAUGGUGCUGAUCCAGCAUCCAGUUAAAGGGCUACACUGCAUUAAAAAUUAAUCCAAUGUGCUGUGACAUCAUGAGAACCCAAAGAGCAUUUUUGGCACACCCUCACAGGGUUAGACUCUGGUAGGCCCUCAGGGGUCUGGAUUGACUAUAGACUUGGGCUCUGUUCAGAGUCAUUGUCCAAAAUAUUGGAGACAAGACAGACAAUAAAC